AACGAAUAAUGACAAGAGAAGAAAGGUAAAGAGAAAAGAAGAAAAAAGCCAAGUCAAAAAGUAAAGAAUAACUCGAAGGAAGGAGUGGAUGGCAAGAAAUACAGAGAAAGCAGUGCAUAGCACAGCAGAGCAAAGCAAGGCAAAAUAGCAGCCAAAGCCACGAGAAUCAAGAAGUCAGUGAAGAGCAGGAAAGGAAUGGAGGAAUCUGUCCAGAGCUGUGCCCCUGCUUGCCACAGGAGCUGCGCGGGAGGAGAAGAACGUGGGCCAAAAGGUAAGAGGAGCUCCUUUGGGUUCUGGGCUUGAAGCAAAGCUGAGAAGCCAUGCCCGGGAGGAGGUGUGGGUAGCUACAGGCCACCUUGCUAUCUCCCCAAGAGAUGAGGUGUGUGGGCUAGGCACCGGGCAGGAGUGCUGGCCAGAAGCAAGCAUCUCUGUGGAGGAAGGCAAAGGGCGGAGGAGGUUCAAGGGUAGCUACCGGGCAUGGCCUUGCUCAGCAAGGGGAGGAAAAGCCUGAAGGGCACGAGAAGGGGAUAGAGAAGGGCAGGCAGUAGGCGUGAAGCUGCGAGCAGAGUAGAGAGCAACUUGGCAGAGCAGCAAGCAGAGUAGGCAAGUGUUGAGGUUUGGCGUGAGUAGCAGCAAAAGCCCAGAGCAUCAAGAAGCAGGAAGUGAGGAGAAGGUAAGUGAAGGGCAGGCAAGGUAAUGGGAGGCAAAGGCAAGGGGAAAGGGGGGGUAAGGGAGAAAGAAGGGAUGGGGAUGGGGAGGGGAUGGGUGAAGAGCAGAGCGGAGGGAAGGGCUGAGGGGAGGGCUGAAGGCAAACCUAUGAUGAAAAAAGAAAAGAAAAAAUAAGAACAAAAAAUGAAAAAAGAGAAAAAGAAAAAAAAAAUAAGAAAAAGAGAAAAAAUGAAAAGAAAAAAAUGAAACAAAAAAGAGUAAAAAGAGAAAAAAAAGAAAAAGAGAAAAAAGAGAAAAGAAAAAAAGAAAAUGAACAAAAAGAGAAAAAAGAGAAAAGAUAAAAAAAGAAAAAGAUAAAGAAAAGAGAAAAGAAAAAAAGAAAAUAGAAAUAAAAAAGAGAAGAAAAAUAUGAAAAAAAGAAAAAGAAAAAAAGAAAAGAAAAAACAGUAGAUGAAAAAAGAAAAAAAAAGGAAAAACGAAUAAUGACAAGAGAAGAAAGGUAAAGAGAAAAGAAGAAAAAAGCCAAGUCAAAAAGUAAAGAAUAACUCGAAGGAAGGAGUGGAUGGCAAGAAAUACAGAGAAAGCAGUGCAUAGCACAGCAGAGCAAAGCAAGGCAAAAUAGCAGCCAAAGCCACGAGAAUCAAGAAGUCAGUGAAGAGCAGGAAAGGUAAGUUUCCCUUAAAGCAAGG
rnacentral:lncRNA from 7 species